UGAGCAAUCUGCCCUUCUCAUCGGAAUAAGCGUUGGAAACGACGUCUAAUGCCGAAUACGACCUCCUUUCGCAUGAUCGGAGGUGGAAAGCUCCGGCGGAGAAGGAUGAGCUCGCGGCCUAUCAGCUAGUUGGUGUGGGUAAUGGCCCACCAAGGCGACGACGGGUAGCCGGCCUGAGAGGGCGAUCGGCCACACGUGGGACUGAGACACGGCCCAGACUCCGUAGGGAGG
rnacentral:rRNA from 1 species